rnacentral:misc_RNA from 1 species
AACGCACAUUGCACUGUCUGGAAUUCCGGACAGUAUGUCUGUUUGAGCAUCAUUUCUUCCUCCUACUCUUUCAAGUGCAUUUAAACGUGCGCUUGGAGUGUGUAGGGACUUGAAGUUUAGCUUUCACGAGCUUGCUUUUAAAGAAGAGCAAUCAGUUCGCGUCAACUGCCCAGUUAAGUCCAUUAGGAAUCUCUGACGCAGCCGUGAACUUUGACUUGCUCCAAAUCAUUAAUAGGGCAUCUCGUAUGCUCUGAACUUUGAUCUCAAAUCAGACAAGACUACCCGCUGAACUUAA